ACAUGCAAGUGGAGCGACGAACCGGGCUUCGGCCCGGGGCAAAGCCGCGAACGGGUGAGUAACACGUGGGUGACCUACCUUCGAAUGGGGGAUAACGUCCCGAAAGGGACGCUAAUACCGCAUAACAUCCUGCUUUUGAACAGGUGGAGAUCAAAGCCGGGGAUCGUAAGACCUGGCGUUUGAAGAGGGGCCCGCGUCUGAUUAGCUAGUUGGUGAGGUAACGGCCCACCAAGGCGACGAUCAGUAUCCGGCCUGAGAGGGCGGACGGACACACCGGGACUGAGACACGGCCCAGACUCCUACGGGAGGCAGCAGUGGGGAAUUGUUCGCAAUGGGCGCAAGCCUGACGACGCAACGCCGCGUGGAGGAUGAAGGUCUUCGGAUUGUAAACUCCUGUUGCCCGGGACGAAAAGCUUCGACCUAACACGUCGAAGUCUGACGGUACCGGGUGAGGAAGCCCCGGCUAACUCUGUGCCAGCAGCCGCGGUAAUACAGAGGGGGCAAGCGUUGUUCGGAAUUACUGGGCGUAAAGGGCGCGUAGGCGGCCUGCUAAGUCGAACGUGAAAUCCCCGGGCUCAACCCGGGAACUGCGUCCGAUACUGGCAGGCUUGAAUCCGGGAGAGGGAUGCGGAAUUCCAGGUGUAGCGGUGAAAUGCGUAGAUAUCUGGAGGAACACCGGUGGCGAAGGCGGCAUCCUGGACCGGCAUUGACGCUGAGGCGCGAAAGCCAGGGGAGCAAACGGGAUUAGAUACCCCGGUAGUCCUGGCCCUAAACGAUGAAUGCUUGGUGUGGCGGGUAUCGAUCCCUGCCGUGCCGAAGCUAACGCAUUAAGCAUUCCGCCUGGGGAGUACGGUCGCAAGGCUGAA
rnacentral:rRNA from 1 species